GACGAACGCUGGCGGCGUGCUUAACACAUGCAAGUCGAACGGUAAGGCCCCAGCUUGCUGGGGUACACGAGUGGCGAACGGGUGAGUAACACGUGGGUGACCUGCCCCGCACUUCGGGAUAAGCCUGGGAAACUGGGUCUAAUACCGGAUAGGACCGCACCGUGAGGGUGGGGUGGAAAGUUUUUCGGUGUGGGAUGGGCCCGCGGCCUAUCAGCUUGUUGGUGGGGUAAUGGCCUACCAAGGCGGCGACGGGUAGCCGGCCUGAGAGGGUGGACGGCCACAUUGGGACUGAGACACGGCCCAGACUCCUACGGGAGGCAGAAGUGGGGAAUAUUGCACAAUGGGCGGAAGCCUGAUGCAGCGACGCCGCGUGGGGGAUGACGGCCUUCGGGUUGUAAACUCCUUUCACCAUCGACGAAGGUUUUCUGACGGUAGAUGGAGAAGAAGCACCGGCUAACUACGUG
rnacentral:rRNA from 1 species